UGCAUUUAUUUAGGAGGCGUUUCCUCCUCCGUUGCCAUGACAACAGUGACGUCACGGCCCUACCUGUUCUUCCUGUUCUCUAAGUUAGUUUCACUUUUACCAUCCUCGUGUCGCAGCUUGUUUUCUCCGUGUGAAGGUGAAGGUAAACGGUGUGUGUGAGCUGGUGUGAGUUCAGCAGCAUGGAUCAGUGUGAGGAUCCUCACAGCUCUCUGUGGGGGGAACAGAAGAACCAGAACAAAGCUGAGAGGAAAGAACCUGGAUCUGAACCAGAACCUGCACCAGAACCAGAACCUGGAUCUGGAUCUGAACCAGAACCUGGAUCUGAUCCUGGACCUGAACCUGAUCCUGGACCUGCACCCAGCUGUGUGUCCUUUAAGAGCGAUGACUCAAAGGAUAUUUUAGUUGAAUUCAAAGGAGAACAACCUCGUGCUUCAAAGAGGAGGAAGCUGGAAAAUCAAGACUCAUCUGAACCAGAACUGGACUCUGUGUCCAUGAAGACUGGCUACACUGGAAAACAUCCUGAUAAUUUAAGGAAAAGGCACCGUCCUGUGGAUGAAAGAGUGGAGCAGCAGAGUUCAGAGGUUCCCAGAAUUCAGUCUGUCCAGCAGCAUCACCUGGACUCCAUAUUCAUGCUGCUGGAGGACAACAUGGUGACUUUUAUGAAGAAGGAGCUGAAGAAGAUGCAGAAGGUUGUGAGUCCAGAUUACCCAGAAUGCUCAGAGAGUCAGAGGGAGGAUGAGGAGGAGUUGGAGGGUGAUGAUGAAGAUCAGAGGAGCAGCAGAGCGAUGUUUCAGCAGAUCACAGUGUUGUUCCUGAGGAGGAUGAAGCAGGAGAAGCUGGCUGACUGUCUGCAGAGCAAAUUUGCUGCUGCAGUUUGUGGACGUAAACUUAAAUGUGGCCUGAAGAAGAAGUUCCAGAGAGUGUUUGAGGGCAUCGCUAAAGCAGGACAGUCGACCCUCCUGAAUGAGAUCUACACAGAGCUGUACAUCACAGAGGGAGGGACUGCAGAGGUCAAUGAUGAACAUGAGGUCAGACAGAUUGAAGCAGCAUCCAGGAAAGCAGACAGAGUAGAAACAAGCAUCAGACCAGAAGACAUCUUUAAAGGCUCACAUGGAAGAGAUGGACCAAUCAGAACAGUGAUGACACAGGGAGUGGCUGGCAUCGGGAAAACAGUGUUAACACAGAAGUUGACUCUGGACUGGGCUGAAGACAAAAGCAACCAGGACAUCCACUUCAUGUUUCCAUUGACUUUCAGAGAGCUGAAUGUGCUGAAAGAGAGAAAGUUCAGUUUGGUGGAACUUGUUCAUCACUUCUUCAGUGAAACCAAAGCAGCAGGAAUGUGCAAGUUUGAAGACUUCCAGGUUGUGUUGAUCUUUGACGGUCUGGAUGAGUGUCGCCUUCCUCUGGACUUCCACAACAAUGAGGUCCUGACUGAUGUUACAGAGUCCACCUCAGUGGAUGUGCUGCUGACAAACCUGAUCAGGGGGAAGCUGCUUCCUUCUGCUCGUCUCUGGAUAACCACACGACCUGCAGCAGCCAAUCAGAUCCCUCCUGACUGUGUGGACAUGGUGACGGAGGUCAGAGGGUUCAGCGACCCACAGAAGGAGGAGUACUUCAGGAAGAGAUCCAGAGAUGAGGAGCAGGCCAGCAGCAUCAUCUCCCACAUGAAGACAUCACGAAGCCUCCACAUCAUGUGCCACAUCCCAGUGUUCUGCUGGAUCACUGCUACAGUUCUGGAGAAGCUGCUGAGAACCAGAGAGGGAGGAGAUCUGCCCAGAACCCUGACUGAGAUGUUCAUCCACCACCUGGUGGUUCAGACCAAAGUCAAGAAGGUCAAGUAUGAUGGAGGAGCUGAGACAGAUCCACACUGGAGUCCAGACAGCAGGAGGAUGAUUGAGUCUCUGGGAAAACUGGCUUUUAAUCAGCUGCAGAAAGGAAACCUGAUCUUCUAUGAGUCCGACCUGACAGAGUGUGGCAUCGAUGUGGAAGCAGCCUCAAAGUACUCAGGAGUGUUCACACAGAUCUUUAAAGAGGAGAGAGGACUGUACCAGGACAAGGUGUUCUGCUUCGUCCAUCUGAGUGUUCAGGAGUUUCUGGCUGCAGUCUACAUGUUCCACUGUUACACCAACAGGAAGCAGGAGGUUCUGGAGGACUUCCUGGGAAAAGACUGGAAAGAUGAGAACAGAGACACUCUGGAUGUGUUCCUGAAGAGAGUCAUGGAGAAAUCCCUGAGAAGUAAAAAUGGUCACCUGGACCUGUUUGUUCGCUUCCUUCAUGGCCUCUGUCUGGAGUCCAAUCAGAGACUCUUAGGAGGUCUGCUGGGUCGGACAGAGAACCGUCCAGGAAUGAUCCAGAGAGUCAUCAACAACCUGAAGGAGAUGAAGAGUGAUGAAAUGUCUCCAGACAGAAGCAUCAACAUCUUCCACUGUCUGAUGGAGAUGAAGGAUCUCUCAGUACAUCAGGAGAUCCAAGAGUUCCUGCAGUCAGAGAACAGAUCAGAGAAGUUCCUCUCUGAGAUCCACUGCUCAGCUCUGGCCUACAUGCUGCAGAUGUCAGAGGAGGUUCUGGAUGAGUUGGACCUGAAGAAGUACAGAACAUCAGAGGAGGGAAAACUGAGACUGAUUCCAGCUGUAAGGAACUGCAGAAAGUUCAGACUUUCUGACUGUAGACUCUCAGAGAGUCACUGUGAAGUUGUGGCCUCAGCUCUGAAGUCCAACCCCUCCCAUCUGAUAGAUCUGGACCUGUAUGGAAACAACCUGCAGGAUUCAGGAGUGAAGCAUCUUUCUGCUGGACUGCAGAGUCCAAACUGUAAACUGGAGACUCUCAGAUUGAAGGACUGCAGGUUGUCAGAGAUCAGCUGUGAUUCUCUGGUCUCAGCUCUGAAGUCCAACCCCUCCCAUCUGGAACAUCUGGACCUGAGCUGGAACAUCCUGCAGGAUUCAGGAGUGAAACAUCUGAGUGGUUUUCUGGAGAGUCCAGACUGCAUCCUGAAGGAUCUGAGAUUGGAGGACUGCAGUUUGUCAGAGAUCAGCUGUGAUUCUCUGGUCUCAGCUCUGAAGUCCAACCCCUCCCAUCUGGAACAUCUGGACCUGAGUCUGAACAACCUGCAGGAUUCAGGAGUGAAACAUCUGUGUGGUUUUCUGGAGAGUCCAGACUGCAUCCUGAAGACUCUGAGAUUGAGGUGCUGCAGUUUGUCAGAGAUCAGCUGUGAUUCUCUGGUCUCAGCUCUGAAGUCCAACCCCUCCCAUCUGGAACAUCUGGACCUGAGGUGGAACAACCUGCAGGAUUCAUCAGUGGAACAUCUGUUAGAUCUUGUGAAGAGUCCAGACUGCAUCCUGAAGACUCUGAGAUGGAGGUUCUGAUCAGGACGGUGUUUGUGCUGAGAGGAUGAAGUGUGUCCUGAUGAUCCAGAGGUUGAAGCAGCAGCAGCAGCAGCAGCAGCAGCAGCAGCAGCUGGUGUGUAGAGACUCUGACUGGACCAUGUUACUGGGAGGUGGACUGGGAACCAGUAUGAAGUGUGUUGUUCCUGUACAGUUUAGUGUUGCAGCUCCACACUGUGAAUGAGGGAGAAGUUCAGUUAAUGUUGACUUGAUCCGUUGGAGGUUGAUGAUGUUCAGACUCAGGGGUGAGGCGAAUAUUCGGAUCUCAAAAUUAAUAUUCGGAUACCACCGUCACGACGGAAUAUUCAGAUAUUCGGGUCCAGCCCUAGAGUUAUGUACUUCUUUGCGAAAGCCAGUCUCUUCUCCUUUUGCAGUUUGGUGAGUCGCAUGGUAUAUUGCCUCUUGUAAGCUUUCAGCCCCAAUGUUUCUGUUAAAAAUGAUGUACAGUGCACUUAGAAACAUCUUCUCCAAGAUUUUUCAGCAUCUGACUGAGUCGCCGGCAUGACUGGUGUCUUUUACCCUUGGCCUUUCUCAUCAGAUCCUUGGCUCUUGCAGUUAGGCCAGAUGGACUCCUGAGUGAGGCAAGUCCUUGAAGGAUCCUCCUUUAUUCUACUUUUGCCACCACUUCUGCACCCAGCAGAUACUUCUGCAAAGGGCUUGAGGUACCUGCUGACCAAUUUUUCCUGCAUUUUGAAGAACAAUGGCCUGUGCAUUAAUCUGAGACUCUGAAAGAGAGCUUUUCCACCCUUACUCUUCUCCAUAGUAACAAUGGCUUCCAAAAUCUGGUUGUGAGUUUAAUGCAUUUUGGUCAAGCAAGAAAUGUAUCUACUGGAACCUGACAGUUUGACCAGACAAACAACCAAACAGUACCUGAUUGAUCAGGUGGAACCCAUUUUUGUGGCAAUCAAACACGUUGUCCGAUGGGGAGAACAAACUUUUGGGACACGGUGUAGAAUAAAGUUGGUUAAAUUUGCUGUAAUUCCAGCAAUUUACAGCAAACGGAGGCUGGUUCAUGAACACAGACUCUGAUUCUGAGCUGAAAAUCCACAUUUCAUAUUCUGUGAUUGGUAUCUGCUCACUGAGAGCCUCAGUUCAAGAUUUUCAACCCUUUAUCUGUUUCUGGGAAUUUUACAUCAUUAUUAUUCUGCCAAGGAGGCAGAGUAAUAAUGAUGUUAAAAAAAUAAAAAUAAAAAAAGUCUGUCUUUGUUACCAACAUUACUCAAAAAUGGAUUAAUGGAUUUUUAUGAAAUUUUUAGGGAAGGUCAGAAAUGACACAAGGACCAAUUGAUUAGAUUUUGGCAGUGAUGCAGCUUAUAGUCUGGAUCCAUGGGUUUUUGAAAGAUGAGAUCUUUCAAAAAUGCACUCUGAGUGCUUUUCUAGUCUUUUAGUUUUGUCGUUCUACUAGCAUCACCUCACUGUUGGUAAUAAUUCAGUCUAAUCUUUUUUAAAACAUGUAUGAAACAUAAUCCUGACUCAUCUUGUAAAUAAUAAGAGCAUUUAAGCCUUGAAAUAAAAUCUGUCUUUACUUGUGUUAGUUGAUCAUCAUCAUGACUUUAUUUCAACUUGUUUUUUUCUAGUAAAAUAUCCGAGGGAUAAACACCAUUAAGUUCAUAAAUUCCCCUUUUACAGCUCAGUUGAUUCUUUUUGUGUUUUUGUUUAAUCAUAUAUUUAUCAUGUGUCAUUUACUGUGUUUAUUAGUUUAUUUCUGUCAUUCAUUUCAACCAGCUUAUUUACAGACGCUGCAGUUAAACUUUUGUCACAUGCUUGCAAAAUCUGAAAUGUAACAUCGCUUUCUCGUGGUCACGGUUCAUAACUCCAAAUUUGUUUUAUUUUUGAAUCACUACACCGAAGUACUACAUUUAGGUAAGUUUUCUCGCAUGAAAUUUUGUUGUACUUUCAUGCUUUGACCACCAGAGGGCAGAAAAUCACAUUAUUUAUGUUGCUUCAACGUGCAGCAGAGGAUAAUUCCUUAAAGUUUUGUGAUUUCAUUAAUAUCCACAUUAGAUGUAAAGAUGUUCGGCAUAAUUUCACUGCACUUUCUCGCUGACUGUUCCAAAAUCAUGAAAUACUUUAAAAACAAGAGACUUAUGAUGGUAAAUGCAGCUUAUCUGAAUCUCGCCAACUUUACCUUUAGUCUGUGGCCACUAGAGGGUGUUGUAGGAAACUGUAAUUUCUACAAUUCUAAAUAUGAAUUGUGUUUGUCUGGACCUUGACUUUUAGUCAGGAUCACAAUAAGCCGAACUCUGAGUAGUUUUCUGUCUGUUUUCCAUGAUAUGUGAUUAUGUUGUGACCAGAGUCAAGCACCAAGGUCUCCCAACCCGUGACAACUGCUCAGCUGAGGAAUCUGUAACUGUCCUGCUGUGUGAAGGACGGAUACUUCUAUAAGUUUAUGUUUGAUGUUUUAGUCUGUCAGAUCUCUGAACACGAUCCUGGUGUUGGAGUUCUGCCCUUUCAGCUGGAAUAUUCAUUCUGCAUUUCUCUUCUUUAUUACUCAUUGUUACUCCGUUAUUCUUUAAUAAACUGCAAAGACAAA